AAACCACAAAAUGUUGCUGGUUGGAGUAGCAGAGACUGGGAUCAGGAAAUAAAAGUACACCAUGGCACAAGAGCACUGCAGCAGGAAAACCUAAUGUCAGCUUAGAAAACCCUGAAUCAAGAAGUGAGAAAGCAACAAAAAAUAAUAACAGUAUUCAGCAUCCUCAGCUGAAGAAUGGUUUUGUAUAUGAGUACUUUACAUCCUCUGUUUGAAAGCAUAUAUCCAGGGGCACGGAAAUGCAUGGGAAGAAGGGUCAAGUAACAUUUGUGUAGCUCAACCUGAGAGGUCAGAUUAUGCUUCCACUACUCAGGUGUCCACACUGAACAGGAUAUUAUCACUGAAGCAAUGUAAAUCCCUGAAUACUUAUCCAUCACAGC